CCCUUAGAUGUUCGGGGCCGCACGCGCGCUACACUGAAGGAAUCAGCACGUCUUUCUCCUUGUCCGAAAGGACUGGGUAACCCGCUGAACCUCCUUCGUGCUAGGGAUUGGGGCUUGUAAUUCUUCCCCAUGAACGAGGAAUUCCCAGUAAGCGCGAGUCAUAAGUUCGCGUUGAUUACGUCCCUGCCCUUUGUACACACCGCCCGUCGCUACUACCGAUUGGAUGGUUUAGUGAGAUCCUCGGAUUGGUCCCGGCGCGGCCUCUGGUCGUGCCGGAGUGCCGAAAAGAAUGUCGAACUUGAUCAUCUAGAGGAAGUAAAAGUCGUAACA
rnacentral:rRNA from 1 species